GCCCAGAUAGCUCAGUAGGUAGAGCAACGGACUGAAAAUUCGUGUGUCGUUGGUUCGAUUCCGACUCUGGGCACCA
rnacentral:tRNA from 1 species